UGUGGCUUCUUGGGUAACCAAGAGUCUGCUUGUGUGUCUUAGUUAUCAUAGCAAUACUUAGUAUCAUAAUUAAAUAGAGGUAUUUUCUAAUUCUUCUGUUUUUAAUUUCAAAGAUUUAUUUAUUUGAAAGGCAGAGCUCUAUAGAGAGGGAGAGAAACUAGAAAAAGGAUCUUCCAUCCACAGGUUCAAUCCUUGAAUGGCCACAAUGGCCAGGGCUGAGCCAGGCUGAAUCAACAAGCCCGAUCUCCAUCUGGGUCUCCCACAUGGCGGCAGGGACCCAAGUUCUUGGCUCUUCUGCUUCCCAACAAGCUCCCUGCUAAUUCUAUUGGGAAAGUAGCAGAAGAAUGCAGAUGGAGUUCCUGGCUCUUGGCUUUGGUUGACCCAGCUCAAGACCUUUGUGGUCAUUUGGGGAGUGAACCAGUGGGUGGAGGAUCUCUCUCUCUGUCUGUCUCUCCCUCUCACUUUAUCACUUGCUCUGCCUUUCAAAUAAAUAAAUAAUGCUUAAAAAUGGAGAAUCAUUCUGUUCAUACUUAGACCUCAAGCCUGCAUGUUAAGAACUUACUAAUUUCAUAUCUAAAAUUGUCUUCUAGAGAGGAUUUUGUCCAUCUUAUUAUAAUAUCGUAUGAUGAGUGGUUAUAUACAGUUCAUGUUUUGUAAGGAGAAAAUUUGACACAUCUCCAAUUAGGUCAUCAGUUGUUUGAAGGCAGAUUGGAAAACCAAGGAAUGUGUUGCCCAUGAUGGAGGUGAGAGUAUUUUACUGCUUCUGCUCUCCAUUUGUCCCAAGACUAGCACAGCACUUGGGAAAGCAGUAACUCAGCCAUGAUGAAUACAGUAAAUCACAUGAUUACAUAUAUUUGAAUGAAUGAGUUGGUACUAAUUUUUUUCAGAUCCCAAGAAGGAAAUUACAAGUCUGAAGUCAACAGCAAACCCAGGAAGGAAAGGACAGCAUUUACCAAGAGCAAAUCCAAGGACUAGAAGCAGAAUUUGCCCAUCACAACUAUGUGACUAGACUGAGGAGAUACAAGAUAGCAGAGAAUCUGGAUCUCACCAAAAGACAGGUGAAAGUGUGGUUCCAGAACAGGCGGAUGAAGAGGAAGAGGGUAAAAUUGGGCCAGCCGGGCACUGCUGCCUGAGAAAAGGAACUGGUGAACGUGAAGAAAGGAACCCUGCUCCCUUCAGAGCUGUCAGGGAUUGGUGCGGCCACGCUCCAGCAAACAGGGGACUCUCUGGACAAUGAAGACAGCCACAACAGCGACCACAGCUCCGAGCAUGCACACUUAUGAUCCACACAGACAGGACCAGCUCCAUCCUCAGGAAAGAAGCACCGUGAUGGCAAGCCUUACCCAACAGAGUUUACACAGAGAGAUGGCCAUGGCCAUGAUUUUUAAUAUUAUCAAAUUCAGGCAUCAUGGGUCUGUUUUGCAUGAUUUAUAGAGGAAGGAAGUGUCACUUAUCAAAGAUGUUUCCAUGAUGAAAAUCAGAAGAAAUGGUGUCAGACAAGGAGCAAAGCCAAAUGGGCUCCCCAAGGGGAUAGACAAAACAAUUCUGAAUGUCUUCAAAUUAAAUUCAGUAAAAACACAUUAUUUUUUAAUAUGUGAUGUAUUCUUGCAGAACAACCAUCUUUGUAUUUUGUGAAAAAUGUUUAAUAAAUGAUCCUUUAUAAAUAAUUUUGGUCUCCCCAUUGUAAUUUCUUUAAUUUCUAUAGAUUUUAAUAUUCAUAUCUAAGAGCGCCCCAGACUCAUCUGCUCUGUACUAAUUCAGAUCAAGAUCAUUAAUGAAUCACAGGUUUUCAUUUGUAGAUUUAUUAUGUCAAGAAAAAAAUCAAUCCUUGGGUGAUCAAAGAGAAUCUAAACAUCAUCAUACAGUAAACCAUUUUCUUAAUUUGAAGAAUAUGGCAAAUGAAUGUUUUUGUGUGUUUUACAAAGCAAAGAUAAAAGGGAACAGGUAACACUAACUGCCACAACUAAUAAGUAAAGUAGUCAUAUAUUUUAAAAUUU